GAUUGGUUCGUCUACCUCCUCCACUAUUUCUCCGCCGCCUCUCCAUGCCCUAGACUCCCGUCCAUGACACCUCAUCCAUGCUACAGUCAAAUCUCUCAUCAAUCCCCUACCUCCCCAAUCUCAAAAUUACAAAUCUCGGACCACAAUGAUCUCUACAUGCCCUAGACUCCCGUCCAAGGGACCUCAACGUUUCAUCCAUGCUACAGUCCAAUCUCUCAUAUCAAUCCCCAACCUUUAGAUCUCCUCAAUCCCCUUCCUCCCCUAUCUCGGGUUUUCAAAUCCAGGACCGCAAUGAUCUCAGUUACAGUAUCCAGAUAGCAUUGCUGCCACACUUACAGAAAAUAUGAUAAAGAACUUGCAGUGUUUCAAAAGACGUGGCGUGGGCUGGAAGGAUACCGCAGAGGCAUCAGAUGGUUGGAGGGAUCGGCAAGGGGAGGAGGCUGCCAGGGCUAUGAACUAGCAAAUAAUGCUACUUUAGAAACCAUGUGGACGCCAUCCAAGGACAAAGAAAGAAGCGGUAUGGGCUAGGGAUUACAUGUUGGCUACCACUUACUGGAAACAUGAGACGCGGAUUGACAUGGAAACAAGAAGAAACGAGAAGUGGUUUCUCUCAAUGCCACACGCUUAGUUGGUGGAGAAAGCUGAUUGAUAUUCCAAGUACGCAUGGAAAGUAACUUGAUGAAGUAAACAACAUGGCAACAGGGUGAUUGGAUUUUUCAUCCUUUUUCACAGUUCAUUUAUAUGCUUAUUUCAGAUCAGUUACCAAUGACAUUCAAUAUAGAAAAGAAGGGGAAAACUUGUGCUUUCUAAGUACAUAUGAUUUCCAUGCUUUGGUGUUACUUCUUUUGGGCUUUAAUGGAUGCUACCAGUGUGCAUUGAGAAAAAAAAGUAUUUCAAUCUAAGGGGAAUACAACGUGUAUAAUUAUUAUGUGCUAAUGCACAAAAGUCCUCAAGUAUAUCAUGCUUCCUGCUACUAACUUCAUGUCGAUGGCACGUCCAUGCUGCUGCAUGUUGCUAGCAGAUUCAACUCCCUCGAUGAUAUAUUUAACUUAGACAUCCUCAAGCAGCUAUGGCGUACUCUGCUGCCAGUUUUCUGUAAGUAUGACCCCGUUUUGCCCUUUUUAUGAAGUUCUAUAUAUUAUCUUUGAGCUUAGUUUUAUUUGGAAGGGAUUGAAGAAGAAAGGUAGAUGACCCCACCAUCCAGCGGCCAACCAUACAGAACUUGGAAAUCAUAAUAUUAGGCAUUCUGGCUCAUUGUAGAAGUAUGGUAAAACAACACUAUUGUCUAUUCAUUUGUCUACUUGAAUACAAAAUAUGAUUAAUAGGGAGGGGCGUUUUGGCUCCCAGGAGCACAUGCUUCUGGCUGUACAGUAACACACACAAAAAUUAGUAAAUGUUUUUAGAAAAUUCUGAAAUCUUUUGUGGAUGGUCGGGUUAGUGUUAGAACCAUGUCUGACAAUUUUCAUGUGAA